GACGUAGGGCGCAAGCGUUGUCCGGAUUUAUUGGGCGUAAAGAGCUCGUAGGCGGCUCAUCGCGUCUGCCGUGAAAACCCGCAGCUCAACUGCGGGCUUGCGGUUGAUACGGGUGGGCUGGAGUUCGGUAGGGGAGACUGGAAUUCCUGGUGUAGCGGUGAAAUGCGCAGAUAUCAGGAGGAACACCGAUGGCGAAGGCAGGUCUCUGGGCCACUACUGACGCUGAGAAGCGAAAGCAUGGGGAGCGAACAGG
rnacentral:rRNA from 1 species